GUCCGCCCGAGCGACCCGGGAGGCCGUAAAUCCGCGGCCCCACGUGACUUUCCGGGCUUCGCCUCUGGGACCGGAGUCGGCCUGGCGUUCGUUUCCGUGAGGUGCCUUUAGACCCACCCAGUGACUCAAGUUUGCGGUGUGCUCCCGCGUUCCGAAGAUGCUCGCACAGAUUCUUAGUAGGACCCGCGCUUCUCUCUCUCUCGAAUUUUUCUGGAAGUAACCUUGUGUUGGGAUCCCUCAGGGAAAUGAAGAAGCCACGUGGCUGAGUUUCUGCUCCGUCGCCCGCUCACGGUGAGCGGCUAAAACACCGAAAACGGCCCCCGGCCUUCCAGCCAGAGCUCUGUCUACACUAUCUCUAUCCCACUUGCCCAGGCUGUCUUUACCGAAUUUUUUGCUACUUAAAUCAGCGGUAGCCGCAGUCAGUCAACGCCACCACCACUACAGAGAAUCAGAGACGAGCUGGGUUGGAACUCCAUCUGGUCCGUUCCCAACCCACUUUACAGGUCUCAGUCCUUUAGAAAACAGAAGGAAUCCGUUUUUCUAACAUAUCCCUUAGGAACAACCCAAGUUCAAGCUAAACUGCACCUCAGGAAGCUCUCUGAUACUGUACAUUACUACUACCUCUCCCUGUGCUCAGGAUCUCUGCAAAGCAUCAGUUUUGUUCAUUACACGCUUCACUAGUUGGUGAGAGGCCCUGUGGCAAGCCUAGCUCCCCUUUGAAAUGUCACCGGAAUGACCAGAGGAACCCAUCCAAAGGCCCAGAGAGAGGAUCUGGAGACUUCAUGCAAACAGCUUAACCUCUCAGGUUGGCGGAAACUUUUCAGAACAGAGGAAGAAGAACUAUCUCCUCUUUAGUGUUUCCCAAAUCUUGUUAUUAAUCAGAGUCGUUGAGGAGCUUUUAAAAAAUACAACUUCCUAGGCCAACUCCUGAAGGUGCUGCCGUGGAACUUAAGGACCCAAGGCUUGUCACUUCAAGACUGGCAGUGACGGCACCACAGAGGGGACUCAGCUGGUGACUCUGCCACACCAGAUAUCCUGAGUAAUGGAGGCUUCCCUGAACACACUGGGCCUCCCCAGCACCAGAGGACAGUCGCCUCCACUGUAACAGUGUGAGGAUAGGAGUGCCGGACAAUCACCAGAGGCACAGGUUGUCCAGGGGGCAGGCAAGGACAGGAGCUAAGAGAUGUGUCUCCUGCUGGACAGAAGGCCCAAGUUGUCUGAGACAGUGCCUCCGAACAGGACUCCAGGUGAUCUGACAGCGGCCGUGGGGUGGACCCAUACCGUGGAUUUUCAUCAGGGAUUCAGCUUAUUAGAAAAGCAUCCAGGAACAUCCCUUCCCCAUCUGCAAUGUUUUAUUUUAAGACCCAACUCAAAAGCUACUCUGGGCCACCGCCCCCAACUCUCCCAGGCAGCUUUGGUUCUUUUCCACAGCACUCAGUUCUUCCUCUGUAACCGCCAUUGGCACCGUGCCGGUAGCUAAUCCCUUUGAGUAUCUGUCUGCACCAAACCUAAAAUCUUCGAGGCUAGAAGCUUGGUCGUAUCAUCUUUAUUUCCUAAGGCCCUAGCACCAUGUAGGCACCCAAGAGUUGAAUGUUUAUUAAUGAAUAAAUAAAUAAAUGAUG